rnacentral:lncRNA from 1 species
CGUUCUUAUGUUGUACUGUUAUACCACUGUCCCAGGUUAGGGGGAGGGUUGAGAUCCCGCUAACAUGUUUAACCCCGCCACAUUAUUUAUGUAUGUGCCUGACCCAAGUCAGGAGCCUGUAAUUCAGUGGUUGUCGUAUGUUUAUGUGUUACAUAUUUGUUUUUCGUUCAUUUUUUUACAUAAAUAAGGCCGUUAGUUUUCUCGUUUGAAUUGUUUUACAUUGUCUUAUCGGGG